GCAGACAUCUUGCUCUGCCGUGGGGGUAGGACUCCCCCGAUUUCCAGACUUUUGACCAGUGAUCCUGGUUUCGAGAUGGAAGUGAGACAGCCGAGGAGGCUUCGGGUUUGAUGAUGGGAGAGGGAGGCAGGGAAGCCGCUCUUCGGAAGCGAGGAGAUGCCCGCUGAGGCUUCUGAGAAGCCCCGCGGGCUGAGGUCCAGGAGGAGGGAGACAGGAAGGGGGUGGCUGCUGGGGCCACAGGCAUCUGGAACCCACUUAUGCUGUGUGCUGCACCCGGCCAUGUCCUGUCACUGUAGCACUUUUUUUGUUUUGUUUUGUUUUAAAAUAAAAGCACCUUCUGUGUCCUUUUCUUGAA